UCCCUGCCACCUCUUCCUGUCCCCUCGUCCCAGCACCAUCCUCCCUGAUACAGCCACAAGCAGCUAAACCAGAGGUGGGCAAACUACGGCCCGCGGGCACCUCCGCCCCACGGGACCGUCCUGCCCGGCCCUUGAGCUCCCGGCAGGGGAGGCUCCCCCAGCCCCUCCCCUGCUGUCCCCCUUCCCCCGCAGCAUCAUCUCGCCGAGCCGCCAGCACCCUGGGCGGUGGGGCUGCGAGCUCCUGCCGGGCAGCGCGGCUGUGAGAGCCGCCGGCCUGCCCCGGUGCUCUAGACUGCACGGCGGCGUGGCUGGCUCCAGCCGGGUAGUGCGGCUGCCAGUCCUGGUGCUCUGAGCAGCAUGACAGGCACCAGGGACAUGCUGAAAGCAGUGUGGCAGGGUCUGGAGGUACAGCAUCUUUAUUCAGAACAGCAGUGUGGCACGUGACCAGAAAGGGUUAAACAUCCUGCAGGAUAAAUGACUCAAAUUCAACAUAUGCAUAGACAGAGUCUUCAGUUUUCCAGAGCAAUGUUCACAACUCAAGCCCCACCAGGGAAAACGGUGAAAAGUUUACUGCAACAAUGGGACAUUUCUUGUUGAUGGUGUGGAGAUUUUUCUACCAUGGCUCAGACUGUAAUGGAGUUUCAGGGUGGACUGAUGCAAAUGUCAAGCUGGGUGCUGCAAUCUUUAGUGGAGUAACAAGAUAUAAAACUUUAAAAAUGGAGCAUUUACAAUAGGGACGUAAAGACGUGCUUUUAAAAUUGUGCUGUCAAAACAUACAGGAAGAUCGUCCAUUUUCUAAAGAACUCUAGUGCAGGUGUUACCAUACAAAUUCUGGAUCAUGAAAAAAGGAAGAAACAAGGACAGAAAGAGAAGAAUUGCCCAAAUCUGCCUGCCCUCCCAGCGUGGUCAAACAACCUACAAUUCUCUCUGAAUGUUUUCCCAUGCUGUUCCACUGGCUCUGGAG